rnacentral:rRNA from 1 species
CAGUUCGGACUGCAGGCUGCAACUCGCCUGCACGAAGUUGGAAUUGCUAGUAAUCGUGGAUCAGCAUGCCACGGUGAAUACGUUCCCGGGUCUUGUACACACCGCCCGUCACACCAUGGGAGCCGGUAAUACCCAAAGUCAGUAGUCUAACCGCAAGGAGGACGCUGCCGAAGGUAGGAUUGGCGACUGGGGUGAAGUCGUAACAAGGUACC